UCGAGCGGCGAACGGGUGAGUAACACGUGGAUUAUCUGCCCUGAGGUGGGGGAUAACCCGGGGAAACUCGGGCUAAUACCGCAUAGGACCGUGAGGUCAAAGGGGGGUCGCAAGAUCUCUCGCCAUAGGAGGAGUCCGCGUCCGAUUAGCUAGUUGGUAGGGUAAUGGCCUACCAAGGCGACGAUCGGUAGCCGGCCUGAGAGGGUGAUCGGCCACACUGGAACUGAGACACGGUCCAG
rnacentral:rRNA from 1 species